ACGGAAGGCAGCAGUGGGGAAUAUUGCACAAUGGGGGAAACCCUGAUGCAGCGACGCCGCGUGAGUGAAGAAGUAUCUCGGUAUGUAAAGCUCUAUCAGCAGGGAAGAAAAUGACGGUACCUGACUAAGAAGCCCCGGCUAACUACGUGCCAGCAGCCGCGGUAAUACGUAGGGGGCAAGCGUUAUCCGGAUUUACUGGGUGUAAAGGGAGCGUAGACGGCGAUGCAAGUCUGAAGUGAAAGGCGGGGACUCAACCCUUGGACUGCUUUGGAAACUGUAUUGCUAGAGUGCAGGAGAGGUAAGUGGAAUUCCUAGUGUAGCGGUGAAAUGCGUAGAUAUUAGGAGGAACACCAGUGGCGAAGGCGGCUUACUGGACUGUAACUGACGUUGAGGCUCGAAAGCGUGGGGAGCAAACAGGAUUAGAUACCCUGGUA
rnacentral:rRNA from 1 species